UGACCUUGAAGUUUAGUCAUUGACCAGACCACUUGUAUGCAAUGAAAACAAAUUUUUAAGUGUCAAAAUUUAGGUAUUUCUGCAUGGAUUCAGAGAUAGCCUUGCAACGCACACCGGUGCUUUCAGAGAUUUUCAAGAAUGUUUCGUUAUUUUCUUGUUGUAUGGGAUAUUGGAGGUGUUAUUGAUUUUUCCUGGGGGGAUGGGAGCAGGGUAUGGAUUAUAUGGGUGUAUUUGGAAUGGUGUCUAGACAGGUAGAAAUGGAGCAGCCAUAGCAAAUAGCAGGAAAACUGUUUUUCUUUCUGCUUUAUCACGUGGCCUACGUUGGUUGACUAGACAGUUCCUUGCUUCAUGUUGGUGUUUGGGCAGAAAUUUCUGAGAGAUGGGAGAGAUAAGGGUGAAACAGAAUAGAGCAAAUAGAAUCUGAAACCAUUUUAUGUGUGUAUACCUAAGAAUAAACAACCUUGCAUUUUUGUUUUUUUUUAAAGGUAGAGGAUAUGUACUGGAGAAGCCUCCACAUCUCUUUUUCUUUGCCAGGUAGUGAAAUUUAAGUCCUGGAAACAAACUACUUCUUGGUGCAGGAGUUGCAACACUGUAUGUAUCUUGCUGUUUGAUUCCUAUGAAAAUAGGAUGACUUUUGAUUAUGACUGUAAAAGGUGGUAUUGCAUGGAAUCUGGUGGCCAAGGACAUGACUUCAGCUCCUCUCUCUUUGUAAACUGAUGUGGCAGGGAAGAGCCUGUGGAAAAACUGAGAACAAUAAACAAGGUUCUGUAAUGUACUGGUAAUGAACUAUUUGCUGAACAGCAGUGGUGAGAACCUGAUGACCACCAGCAGCCGAUUCUCCAUGGAAAUGAUGACGCUUUCAGAGACAUAAGUAUUGAUUUAAGUUUUUCUUCUGCCUUAGGGAAUCAUAGAGUGUUUAUCUUUUUAUUAUCUCUUUAGCUAAUGGAAAUUGAUAGUGGAAGUACUGGCACAUAAAUUCCUGAGUCUGUGAGGACCUUAGUGAAAUAUUCUGCUGGAUGAGCCUUCCCAAGAUGAAGGCCUUUGGAUGUGGGGAACAGUGGUGUGUUCAGUGCUCUGGCAGCUGAUUUUUCAAGUUGUUUUUUUCCUGUCUGUGGAGAAGUAUUGCAAACUUGAAAGAUGAGGAACAUCAGUCUUACUACAGUGAAUUUUCUCUGGACUUUCUGCCUAUUAUGAAAUAGUCAGAGGUUAGUCUGUGAUAUUACUGGUUCUGCAGUUCUACAUGAAAAAGGGAUCAGACAUCAAAAUUAUAUGUUUUUUUGGUGCUUAGGUAGGAACAAGACAAGCCUUUCCUUCAUUACCAUUCAAGUGAUAACCUAAAGCGUUCCGGGCCUGUUGUUUUUUUUCUGCAUCUUGACUUUUUCUGACUUGAAAUCUAGUUAUUUCUAGGAAAUUUACCUUUCUUUUUUAACUAUUCAUGCCAGGAUCCACCCUAAAGUGAAGAUCUUUGCUUCCUUCAUUUUUUCUGGGAGCUCAAUGGUAGGUCCUGUACGUAGCAGCUUAUUUCCAUAAAAGCUCAGUCUAAUGUUAUACCUGUUGUACCUGAUUUGGGUCAUUAUGUCAAAAAUAGUUGGAAAAAUGCAGUUUGUAAUUCUGUUCUUUCUUUGUCUAGCACAGGAGAAGGCAUGCUUCCUGUGAACUGCAGAGGGAGUUGAAAAUCAGUCUUCAUCUCUUUAGAUCAGGUGAAGAGUCUUUUCCACUAGUAGAAGACAAUACAGGUGUUACUGUUCCCUUUCCACCAUUCACCAGGUCGGUGUCCAGCUAUGCGCUUCUGCAGUGCCUGAACUGGUGGUGUUUGGAGGCUUGUAAGAAUAACUGAGCUGUGAAUGGUAUACUGUGAAUGAGUGUUCCUAUGCCAUUAUUCAUUUUUUCCUGGAGAUCUUACAGCGUUAUUUUUUGUGUGGUGUCCUUUCUUACAUUACUGCAGCAAUAAAUGGAUAUAAAUGACAAGUGUGUAUAAUUUGUCUCUGUCCCAUAUAUAGUACAUUAGACCAUCACUGUCUUCUAAGAACUGUUGAAGAUGUGUGGUGAAGAUGGAGUCUGUUGCCAUCAAAUGUAAUACAGUCCAGUUAUGUGAAGAUCUUUGUCAUUUUAAUUUCUGUGUUCUUUGCUAGUAAAGAGAUACUGAAAACAUUUUCUUUUAUCUUAAAAUGAUAAUGUUUGUAGGUUUAUAUUGUAUAUGUAGCCAGGCAGUUAGUGUUGCUUUCAUUGUUAUUAGCCAUUAAAAGAAAGCAUUCAUGGAAUUUACUCCUGACUUUGAAGAUUACACUUUUUUGUGUCAGCAGUUAAACCAUAUAAAGAAAUAAUCAUGUUUUUCAUUGACAACA